GUGCAACUUAACGAAGCUAAUGGAAGAAAACGGCGAAAAAGACAAAAGCGGAUAGCGAUACUUUUCUUUCAUUCGCGGCUGUCAGCGGGUGUAAUCUAACAAUCUGGUUCGGACAUAAUGAAAACGACACAAAUCGCCCAGUACGCUCUGAGACUCACAUAUUCGCAGCCUGCGAAUCGUGAUAAAAUGAUGACCAGAUCUGCCCUAGCCUUAGCAGCCAUCGGUCUCGGCCUUUCCACAUUCAGCGUUCGCCAGAUGAUCCUUCACCAGACUAGACGAAUCUAAACGUAUCAAGCCUCUAAGGUUCUAGAACCAUCCGUCACGUCACCGAUAGACGCCAUUUUAAGAUUAAAUGUCAUUCAUUUCAAAAUGGAAGUACUUUGGAUUAACGCACACAAAAAUAAAUCUUAAUUAAGUGCACGUAAAAAGUUGUACAGUAUUUAUUGUGUUGUGUGUGAGAAAUUAAACAAAAAAAAUUGUAAAAGAUAAUGUAAAAAUUGUAAUUUAUUUAUUAUAUUUUAAUCGUGGUUUUGUGGCCACCUUAUAGAUAAUUCUUUUAAAUUCCUAGCAGUAAGUUUCAAGUCUCGUUAUGGGUGGUAUAGGUUAUGUACGAUUGACUGAAUGGUACCAUGCAGUUUCUUGUGAUGCAAACCAAAUAAAUAUAGACAUUAAGUA